CCCUUCUCCACACCUGCCCAGCCCCCGUGGCGGCGGGUGACUUAGACCUUGAUGCAGUCAGGUGCAAGGCUUUUGCUGUACGAUUGCUUCACACCAGCAGGCUCCGUCUGUCCAGAGCUGGAAGAGAUGUAUCAGGUUUAAAUGUGAUCAUGUGGGAUUAUGGUAGGCCAGAAAGCAGUCCUCAUAAGAAGAGGGAAACUUAAACACAGAUAAAGAAGACAUCGUGCGACAACAGAAGCAGAUAGUGGCAAGAGGCAUCUAAGUAACAAGCCAAGGAAUGCCAAGGAUUGCUGGCAUACCAGAAGCUGGGAGAGGAAAGAAGAGGCCUGCUCCAGCACUUCAGAGGAUCAUAGUCCUGCCAGUGACUUGACUUUGCAUUUUUAGCUUCCAGAACUGGGAUAAUAAAUUCCCGUCAUUUCAA